rnacentral:lncRNA from 1 species
UCCCUAGGGUCUGUGGCAGCUGUCAAGCAUCUCAGUAACUCUGGCUGGAGGAUGCGGCCUGACUUUACAUAAAGCCCCUGUCACGGACUUGCUGGAGUGUUACCUCUUUGAAGCCUCACUCCUGCCCAUUAGGAAGCUCCUCAGGGCACAGCCCUGGCUGUCGAUGUGACUGCCCAGGUCACACGCUCUUCAGGGGCCAGGCCAGGAGCUAUGACAGUGCAGUUUGGAGGGGAUGUGGCUGGCUUCAGUGGCACCAGGAAAAGUGGGAAGUAAGGGAGAAAGGGCAAGGAAAGACAGAAAGGGCCACUUUGGACCGUGAGAAAUAUCAAUAUCAAACGCCCUUUCUUUUCAUGCCCUCACCUUCGUCACCCAGUGUCAGCUCAUAUCAGGGGGCCCUGAGCUUCCUGGAAGGUCACCUUACGAGUGCCCAGAUCCCAGGAGAGGGCUGGUAAAUGGGCAGUCCCUGCCCCAUCCCUUCCUACCUGCACGGAAAAGGAGAGAUGGCCCAGCCUCAGGUCAUCAGGACCCUUGAGCCAACCCUGCAUCUCAGCCCUGACUCCCACCCAGAAUGCCGGUCUUCCUCACCAAGGGUCUGGCUGACACCUCUGCGAUGCUCAUCACUAGUCACUUGGGAUUCCCUG